rnacentral:sRNA from 1 species
GAUUCUGCCCUACGGGGAAGGAUGAGAAGCUUCGACUAAGGUUCGACUCGAGCGCCAGCGAGAGAACGUUGCCGCAGGCAAUGGCCCGAAGGGCGAGGAGCGAUGGCGACGAGUUAUCCUUCCCCCUCUAUUC